rnacentral:lncRNA from 1 species
CUCACAACGACGCGCUGAAGACGAUCCCUGCUUCCGAUUUUCUGAUCUGACACCCGACCAUCCGGAGAGAUUUGCGAACGAUCACGGCCGUCGAUUUGCAAACGAAGCCCGAUCGCCACGAAACCAGUGCCAUCGCGAAGCUUGAGCUGAGGAGAGUCGGGAUACAUCCUCCGAUCGUCCAUCCUCCGCCGGAGCUCGCC